rnacentral:rRNA from 1 species
UGAGCGACCUGCCGAUUCAGAGGGGGAUAGCCGGCCAACGGCCGGUAAUACCGCAUACGCUCUUAGGACCGCAUGGUUCUUUGAGGAAACCUCCGGGCUGAUCGAGGGGCUCGCGGCCUAUCAGCUAGUUGGCGGGUAACGCCCACAAGGCAUCGACGGGUAGCUGGU